UCUAAUAGUCCAAUCCUUCUUUACGAGCAAAAGAGAGUUGAUUGGCUUACCCCUUUGUUUUAUCCGGCUGACUCACCCUCCAAUCAACUUACUCUUCUUUUCCUUUUCUUUCUUUUUCCAUCCCUUUCCCCCUAUCAGGUUAAAAUUUCUCUCAUUAAUAAGAACAUUUCAAGUUUGAAUAUCCCUUUUCAUGAACUGUUAACUAACUUUUUAACUUGGGAAACAAGGAUUUACUGCACAUACCAGCCCAAGAACCUGCUCAAAAACAUGUUGGAGGCUUUCUUUUCCAACUUCUGAUCUUGGGUUUUCUUCAUUUUUCC
rnacentral:lncRNA from 1 species